GCAAGUCGAGCGCGCCCUUCGGGGUGAGCGGCGGACGGGUGAGUAACGCGUGGGAACGUGCCCUUUGCUGCGGAAUAGCCACUGGAAACGGUGAGUAAUACCGCAUGAGCCCUUCGGGGGAAAGAUUUAUCGGCAAGGGAUCGGCCCGCGUUGGAUUAGGUAGUUGGUGGGGUAAUGGCCUACCAAGCCGACGAUCCAUAGCUGGUUUCAGAGGAUGAUCAGCCACACUGGGACUGAGACACGGCCCAGACUCCUACGGGAGGCAGCAGUGGGGAAUCUUAGACAAUGGGCGCAAGCCUGAUCUAGCCAUGCCGCGUGAGUGACGAAGGCCCUAGGGUCGUAAAGCUCUUUCGCCUGUGAAGAUAAUGACGGUAGCAGGUAAAGAAACCCCGGCUAACUCCGUGCCAGCAGCCGCGGUAAUACGGAGGGGGUUAGCGUUGUUCGGAAUUACUGGGCGUAAAGCGCGCGCAGGCGGACCAUCAAGUUGGGGGUGAAAUCCCGGGGCUCAACCCCGGAACUGCCUCCAAAACUGGCGGUCUGGAGUUCGAGAGAGGUGAGUGGAAUUCCGAGUGUAGAGGUGAAAUUCGUAGAUAUUCGGAGGAACACCAGUGGCGAAGGCGGCUCACUGGCUCGAGACUGACGCUGAGGUGCGAAAGUGUGGGGAGCAAACAGGAUUAGAUACCCUGGUAGUCCACACCGUAAACGAUGAAUGCCAGUCGUCGGCAAGCAUGCUUGUCGGUGACACACCUAACGGAUUAAGCAUUCCGCCUGGGGAGUACGGCCGCAAGGUUACAACUCAAAGGAAUUGACGGAA
rnacentral:rRNA from 1 species